rnacentral:rRNA from 1 species
AUACGGAGGGUGCAAGCGUUAAUCGGAAUUACUGGGCGUAAAGCGUUCGUAGGCGGUUUGUUAAGUUAGAUGUGAAAGCCCCGGGCUCAACCUUGGAACUGCAUUUAAAACUGGCAAACUCGAGUUUAGGAGAGGGAAGUGGAAUUUCAGGUGUAGCAGUGAAAUGCGUAGAGAUCUGAAGGAACACCAGUGGCGAAGGCGACUUCCUGGACUAAAACUGACGCUGAGGAACGAAAGCGUGGGUAGCAAACGGGAUUAGAAACCCCAGUAGUCC